GACGAACGCUGGCGGCGUGCCUAAUACAUGCAAGUCGAGCGGACUGAUUAAGAGCUUGCUCUUAUGACGUUAGCGGCGGACGGGUGAGUAACACGUGGGCAACCUGCCCUGUAGAUCGGGAUAACACCGAGAAAUCGGUGCUAAUACCGGGUAAUAUCUGAGAUCACAUGAUCUUAGGUUAAAAGAUGGCUCCGGCUAUCACUACAGGAUGGGCCCGCGGCGCAUUAGCUAGUUGGUAAGGUAAUGGCUUACCAAGGCGACGAUGCGUAGCCGACCUGAGAGGGUGAUCGGCCACACUGGGACUGAGACACGGCCCAGACUCCUACGGGAGGCAGCAGUAGGGAAUCUUCCGCAAUGGACGAAAGUCUGACGGAGCAACGCCGCGUGAGUGAUGAAGGGUUGCGGCUCGUAAAGCUCUGUUGUUAGGGAAGAAACAGUACCGAACGAACUAGGUCGGUACCUUGACGGUACCUAAACAGAAAGCCACGGCUAACUACGUG
rnacentral:rRNA from 1 species